GACGAACGCUGGCGGCGUGCCUAAUACAUGCAAGUCGAGCGCAGGAAGCUGACGGAACUCUUCGGAGAGAAGGCAGUGGAAUGAGCGGCGGACGGGUGAGUAACACGUAAGGAACCUGCCUCAAGGAUUGGGAUAACUCCGAGAAAUCGGAGCUAAUACCGGAUAGUUCAACGGACCGCAUGGUCCGCUGAUGAAAGGCGCUUCGGCGUCACCUUGAGAUGGCCUUGCGGUGCAUUAGCUAGUUGGUGGGGUAACGGCCCACCAAGGCGACGAUGCAUAGCCGACCUGAGAGGGUGAUCGGCCACACUGGGACUGAGACACGGCCCAGACUCCUACGGGAGGCAGCAGUAGGGAAUCUUCCACAAUGGACGAAAGUCUGAUGGAGCUACGCCGCGUGAGUGAUGAAGGUUUUCGGAUCGUAAAACUCUGUUGUAAGGGAAGAACACGUACGAGAGGGAAUGCUCGUACCUUGACGGUACCUUACGAGAAAGCCACGGCUAACUACGUGCCAGCAGCCGCGGUAA
rnacentral:rRNA from 1 species